rnacentral:rRNA from 1 species
GGUGACCAGCGGAGGGAUCAUUACCGAGUUUACAACUCCCAAACCCCUGUGAACAUACCACUUGUUGCCUCGGCGGAUCAGCCCGCUCCCGGUAAAACGGGACGGCCCGCCAGAGGACCCCUAAACUCUGUUUCUAUAUGUAACUUCUGAGUAAAACCAUAAAUAAAUCAAAACUUUCAACAACGGAUCUCUUGGUUCUGGCAUCGAUGAAGAACGCAGCAAAAUGCGAUAAGUAAUGUGAAUUGCAGAAUUCAGUGAAUCAUCGAAUCUUUGAACGCACAUUGCGCCCGCCAGUAUUCUGGCGGGCAUGCCUGUUCGAGCGUCAUUUCAACCCUCAAGCACAGCUUGGUGUUGGGACUCGCGUUAAUUCGCGUUCCUCAAAUUGAUUGGCGGUCACGUCGAGCUUCCAUAGCGUAGUAGUAAAACCCUCGUUACUGGUAAUCGUCGCGGCCACGCCGUUAAACCCCCAACUUCUGAAUGUUGACCUCGGAUCAGGUAGGAAUACCCGCUGAACUUAAGCAUA